AUAUUGGGACAUAUAAAAAAAGACAACUCUGUUCCGCAGAGUAGCUGUUGACAUUAUAGUUGCGCAGGCACUUUAUUGACUCUAGAGAACCUAGGGCCAAUCGCACAUCCCUGUGGCGGCGACUUUGCAUGCGGAAGUCAUCCAUAUCAACUUUCGAUGCCAGUUUCUGCGCCUACCAUGGUGACCACGGAUAAUGGGGAAUCAGGGUUCCAUUCCGUACAGGGACUCUGAAAAAUGGCUACCAUGUGCAAGGAAGGUAGCAGGCACGCAAAUGACCCACUCCCGAUGCGGGAAGGUAGU